AUUGAACGCUGGCGGCAUGCUUUACACAUGCAAGUCGAACGGUAACAGGCCGCAAGGUGCUGACGAGUGGCGAACGGGUGAGUAAUGCAUCGGAACGUGCCCAGUCGUGGGGGAUAACGCAGCGAAAGCUGUGCUAAUACCGCAUACGAUCUAUGGAUGAAAGCGGGGGACCGUAAGGCCUCGCGCGAUUGGAGCGGCCGAUGUCAGAUUAGGUAGUUGGUGGGGUAAAGGCCUACCAAGCCGACGAUCUGUAGCUGGUCUGAGAGGACGACCAGCCACACUGGGACUGAGACACGGCCCAGACUCCUACGGGAGGCAGCAGUGGGGAAUUUUGGACAAUGGGCGCAAGCCUGAUCCAGCAAUGCCGCGUGCAGGAAGAAGGCCUUCGGGUUGUAAACUGCUUUUGUACGGAACGAAACGGUCUGGGUUAAUACCCUGGGCUAAUGACGGUACCGUAAGAAUAAGCACCGGCUAACUACGUGCCAGCCGCCGCCGUAA
rnacentral:rRNA from 1 species